AUUCAGCUGACGAGUCCCAAAUAGGACGAAAUGUGCGUCCUGUAU
rfam:Schistosoma curassoni strain Dakar, Senegal genome assembly, scaffold: SCTD_contig0000144